rnacentral:rRNA from 1 species
CUUUCCUACGGGGGGCAGCAGUGGGGAAUAUUGCACAAUGGGGGAAACCCUGAUGCAGCAACGCCGCGUGAGUGAAGAAGGUUUUCGGAUUGUAAAGCUCUGUUAGCAGGGAAGAGGAAGGACGGUACCUGCAGAGGAAGCCACGGCUAACUACGUGCCAGCAGCCGCGGUAAUACGUAGGUGGCAAGCGUUAUCCGGAUUUACUGGGUGUAAAGGGCGUGUAGGCGGGGACGCAAGUCAGAUGUGAAAACCACGGGCUCAACCUGUGGCCUGCAUUUGAAACUGUGUUUCUUGAGUACCGGAGG